UGAGUACGAGACGCUAAGGCGUUGAAGCAGUCUAUGUCAGACUUCCAAGAAAAGCUCGCAAUGUCAUAAACAACAAAUGCCUGUACCAUAACCGACACAGGUGGGUAGGUAGAGUAUACUAAGGGGCGCGAGAUAACUCUCUCUAAGGAACUCGGCAAAAUGACUCCGUAACUUCGGGAGAAGGAGUGCCUUCUUGAAGAAGGUUGCAAUAACAAGAUCCAAGCAACUGUUUACCAAAAACACAGGUCUCCGCUAAGUCGUAAGACGAUGUAUGGGGGCUGACGCCUGCCCAGUGCCAGAAGGUUAAAGAAGUUGGUUAGCCAAGCGAAGCUGAUGACUGAAGCCCUGGUGAACGGCGGCCGUAACGAUAACGGUCCUAAGGUAGCGAAAUUCCUUGUCGGGUAAGUUCCGACCCGCACGAAAGGCGUAAUGAUUUGGAUACUGUCUCGGAGAGGGGCUCGGUGAAAUAGACUUGUCUGUGAAGAUGCGGACUACCUGCACCUGGACAGAAAGACCCUAUGAAGCUUUACUGUGACUUGAGAUUGAAAUUGGACUUUAUUUGCGCAGUAUAGGUGGGAGACUUUGAGAAUACUCUUGCGGGAAUAUUGGAGUCAUCAGUGAGAUACCACCCUUGUAAUGUUAGAUUUCUAACUUUGGAUCAUUAUCUGGUCAAAGGACAGUUUCAGGCGGGCAGUUUGACUGGGGCGGUCGCCUCCCAAACGGUAACGGAGGCGCACAAAGGUUUCCUCUGAACGUGUAGAAAUCAUAUCUAGAGUGUAAAGGCAUAAGGAAGCUUGACUGUGAGACCUACAAGUCGAGCAGGGACGAAAGUCGGUCUUAGUGAUCUGACGGUGCUGAGUGGAAAGGCCGUCACUCAACGGAUAAAAGUUACUCUAAGGAUAACAGGCUGAUCUCCCCCAAGAGUUCACAUCGACGGGGAGGUUUGGCACCUCGAUGUCGGCUCAUCGCAUCCUGGGGCGGUAGUACGUCCCAAGGGUUGGGCUGUUCGCCCAUGAAAGCGGUACGCGAGCUGGGUUCAGAACGUCGUGAGACAGUUCGGUCCAUAUCCGGUGUAGGCGUUAGAAUAUUGAGAGGAGCCUUCUUUAGUACGAGAGGACCGAGAAGGACAUACCUCUGGUGUACCAGUUAUCGUGCCAACGGUAAACGCUGGGUAGCUAUGUAUGGAGUGGAUAACCGCUGAAAGCAUCUAAGUGGGAAGCCCACCUCAAGAUAAG
rnacentral:rRNA from 1 species